rnacentral:rRNA from 1 species
AACGAACGCUGGCGGCAUGCCUAACACAUGCAAGUCGAACGAGAGCUCAGGGACUGCUGGCUCACGGGUGCGUAACGCGUGGGAAGGUGCACUUAGACUCGGGAUUACUCUCUGACAGGGGUGCUAAUACCGGAUAACGUAUUCGGACCAAAGAUUGAUCGCACUUGGAUGGGCCGGCGUUGCAUUAGCUAGUUGGGAGGGUAAAAGCCUAUCACGGCGACGAUCCAUAGCUGGUCUGAGAGGAUGAUCAGCGACACUGAGGCGGGGACACGGCCCAGACUCCUACGGGAGGGAGCAGAGGGGGAUAUAGCACUAUGGGCUGGAGGCUGAUCCAGCUAUGCUGCUUGAGUGAUGAAGUCCUUAGAGUAGUAAAGCACUUUUACCCGCGAUGAUAAUGACGGUACCGGGAGAAUAAGCUCCGGCUAACUCCGUG